GCUUCGGUGGUGUAGUUGGUUAUCACGUCAGUCUAACAAAUCAGCUUCACAGCUGGCUGUUGGACACUGAAGGUCCCGAGUUCAAGUCUCGGCCGAAGUA